rnacentral:lncRNA from 1 species
GAAUCCCUUCUGGAACCUAAACAAACCCAAACAAAACCAUCUUUUCUGAAUAUGACAGCAUGUGUUGGCAUUAGGUGGCCAUUGUUUGAGCAUUUUGGUCCAAUUUUGGGGGGUUUUGAAGUCUGGGUGUACAUGCCCUCUUCAAGAACAGCUUCUCCAAAAAAUGAAUUGUUGGGAAUAUGUAAGUUUUGAUGUUAAAUUAAACUAACUACGCAUCUUCUCACGAAGAAGAAGAUCAAGAGCAACCUACAAAACCCACAGCUUUGCCCUCAAAACCCAGUUCUUCCUCUUCCUCUUUGUUUUCUUUUCUACCCAAAUCCAAACCCCAAUUUCGUCUCUCUUCGAAUUCCUUUUGCAACCUAAACAAACCCAUACAAAACUAUCUUUUAUGAAUAUGACAGCAUGUGUUGGCAUUAGGUGGCCAUUGUUUGAGCAUUUUGGUCCAAUUUUGGGGGGUUUUGAAGUCUGGGUGUACAUGCCCUCUUCAAGAACAGCUUCUCCAAAAAAUGAAUUGUUGGGAAUAUGUAAGUUUUGAUGUUAAAUUAAACUAACUACGCAUCUUCUCACGAAGAAGAAGAUCAAGAGCAACCUACAAAACCCACAGCUUUGCCCUCAAAACCCAGUUCUUCCUCUUCCUCUUUGUUUUCUUUUCUACCCAAAUCCAAACCCCAAUUUCGUCUCUCUUCGAAUUCCUUUUGCAACCUAAACAAACCCAUACAAAACUAUCUUUUAUGAAUAUGACAGCAUGUGUUGGCAUUAGGUGGCCAUUGUUUGAGCAUUUUGGUCCAAUUUUGGGGGGUUUUGAAGUCUGGGUUUACAUGCCCUCUUCAAGAACAGCAAUCGUAUUGUGAUUUUAUUGCGGUUGUAUUGUAGUCGUAUUGCUUUUGUAUUGCCAUGGUAUUGUUGUUAUAUUGAUUUUUUUGGUGUUUUAUUGAUAUGUUACUG